CUCGCAAAAAAAAAAAGAUAUACUACUCAUUUAACAUCUGUAUUAAAUUGAAUAUUGAUACGGAUAUCAAAAUUCGGAUCAUUGGGAUACCUGGACAUCGGGUAGCGCGUGUGGGAGGCGGCCGAUGAACCACAACCAGCAGAGCAGGAAGCUGGCGUGCUGCAUGCGUAUCGCCAUAUGGCGGUUGGCGGGGCACAAGGAGGCAACAUGCAUGCACGGUUCACACACGACAGCGUCUGUCCAUGGGCCAUGGCCGUGUAGCCUGGGACCAGUUCCGUUGGCUAAAGGGGGGUUUUUUUUUUUUUUUUUCUCAAGUUGAUUAGCACUAGAUGCACGAGCACGACCUAUAUCAUGGAUUUGAGUAGUUCCAGCCACGAGCCCACGAUAAUCAACUAGCAUUCUAUAGCAACAACAAUAAAGUACAAAAUUGUUAGUGUCAGCUUGCAGGAACAAUUUAUCAUGCUUUCACGUUGACUACUGUUAUCUCACAGAUUAAAAUGGACAAAUCGGGAGUGAUAUCUGUUCCUUUGAUCUUCGGUCGGAUCAAGCGCAAGUUAAUAUUAUAUAUAAUUACAUAAUUGUCUUGAGUGAACAACGCGCAUCUCUCUAGGAUAACCCAUAUUCAUAUCUAUUUAUACAUCUAAAACUACUACCUCUAAAUUUUUGCCCUUCAAUUCACUCUAUUAUAGAAAUCUUUUCCGAGGCGGUCGUUUUUAUUUUUCUGAGGCAGACAAAGACAACCGCCACAAAUGAAAGGUCACCGUUAAUGGUGGUCUAACCGUGGCAGUUGCUUAUGCCUGCCACGGUUAUCGAUAAAUGGAGGCGGGCGCUUUAGAAUGCCCGCCUCGGUUAAUCAAUAAAAAACAAAAAAACCAUGAGCCCACCAACGAGCCCACCAAAAAAAACUACUUCCACUGUCGUGCGCUGCCCGAUCCAUUGAAAUAGAGGGGCAGCCUAGGGAGGGAGAGGGAGACUGUCACCCGCAGCCCUAGAUCUACGAGCCCGAAUGCCAGAUCCGUGAUCCGUGACACUGGACCCAUGAGCCCCGCCACCAGAUCCCAAAUGAAUUUCUACAGGCGGAGUUUAGUUCCAAAUGAAUUUCUACAUGCGGAGUUUAGUUUCCCACAUAUUAUCCUAAACCGAGCAUAUAUUAAUUAUUUGAGGCCCU
rnacentral:lncRNA from 1 species